AUGCUUGCUUGGUCAGCACACAUACAAAAACUGAAAUGAUACAAAAUAGAUUGCUAUAACCCCUGUGCAAUGGUGACAUACCAACUCUUAAAAUGUUUCAUAUUUUU
ensembl:snRNA U6 U6 spliceosomal RNA